CAUGAGGCCUACCUGAAACGCCGAAAGCACGGUUCCCGGGACUUAUCUCCGUUGUAACUACACAGCGGCCAUUUCCCGACUCAAGCACGGGAGGAAAACCAUAGAGCCUGCCCCUCACCCCACCACCAACACCAUCUGAAUGUGGAAGCAGUAAUCUUUGGCCUCCAUGGUGCACUAAUAAGUCCCAAGCAUUUAGUAGGUGCUGGCUUUCAGAUGAUUACAUCCCUGGUUGUCACCUUGAAUGUAGCCUUUUGAAAGACUCUGAGCCAGAACGACUCAGCUAAGCUGCUCCUGACCCACAGAAACCAGGAGAUAAUGAGCCUUGUGAGGAUUCAGUGAGAAUUGCACAUGAACAGCUUAAGAGUCUGGCUUGUGGUAAACACAACAUUUAACAUUUUUCUUUUUAAUACGAGAUUUGUAUGUGAGAUGAGGACUAAGCUUUGUUUCCCAUUCCCUUUCCGAUGUUCAGAUUAUUUACCCCAUUGGCAAGGCAAAGAAGGGGUAGGUAGGAACCUCAAUCAAGAUUCAUUAAAGGGGUGCCUGGGUGGCUCGGUCAGUUAAGCAGUCAACUCUU